AGCUGAUUAUUUGUGUGCGGUGGCUUCUCUCAAGAAUACGAUUCAGUGUAUUCUACAAUCGUCGUCUAUCAUCUCCCUCACUUCACCCUCUCCACAAAUCGUAUUCUCAACUGAUGAUUUGGGGACAUUAUUGAGGUAAAGAAACGUCAACACUUUGCUUUUAAGAGAAGUUCAGUAAUCGGAGGGAUGUUACUUUCAAAAAGGGAGGAAGAUCAAGAUGGAGAUGAGCGCGAAGGAAGCCUUUGAGAGGUCGAUGAGGACUUUGUCGGAGUGGAUAAGCCAGGAAGUGAAUCGAAAUAUAUAAUGAUCUUAGAUACUUGAUACUUGGUUCAUUCGGAUGAUAAUGUACGAAUAUUUUGAAUAAUAUAUAAUAUUGUUAUUGUUGAUUUUA